rnacentral:rRNA from 1 species
AGUGAACGCUGGCGGUAGGCCUAACACAUGCAAGUCGAACGGCAGCACAGUAAGAGCUUGCUCUUACGGGUGGCGAGUGGCGGACGGGUGAGGAAUACAUCGGAAUCUACUUUUUCGUGGGGGAUAACGUAGGGAAACUUACGCUAAUACCGCAUACGACCUACGGGUGAAAGCAGGGGAUCUUCGGACCUUGCGCGAUUGAAUGAGCCGAUGUCGGAUUAGCUAGUUGGCGGGGUAAAGGCCCACCAAGGCGACGAUCCGUAGCUGGUCUGAGAGGAUGAUCGGCCACACUGGAACUGGGACACGGUCCAGACUCCUACGGGAGGCAGCAGUGGGGAAUAUUGGACAAUGGGCGCAAGCCUGAUCCAGCCAUACCGCGUGGGUGAAGAAGGCCUUCGGGUUGUAAAGCCCUUUUGUUGGGAAAGAAAAGCGGCAGGUUAAUACCCCGCUGUUCUGACGGUACCCAAAGAAUAAGCACCGGCUAACUUCGUG